GACGAACGCUGGCGGCGUGCCUAAUACAUGCAAGUAGAACGCUGAAGAGAGGAGCUUGCUCUUCUUGGAUGAGUUGCGAACGGGUGAGUAACGCGUAGGUAACCUGCCUUGUAGCGGGGGAUAACUAUUGGAAACGAUAGCUAAUACCGCAUAACAAUGGAUGACACAUGUCAUUUAUUUGAAAGGGGCAAUUGCUCCACUACAAGAUGGACCUGCGUUGUAUUAGCUAGUAGGUGAGGUAACGGCUCACCUAGGCGACGAUACAUAGCCGACCUGAGAGGGUGAUCGGCCACACUGGGACUGAGACACGGCCCAGACUCCUACGGGAGGCAGCAGUAGGGAAUCUUCGGCAAUGGGGGCAACCCUGACCGAGCAACGCCGCGUGAGGUGAAGAAGGUUUUCUGGA
rnacentral:rRNA from 1 species